ensembl:snRNA
GUGUUGUAUGAAAGGAGAGAAGGUUAGCACUCCCCUUGACAAGGAUGGAAGAGGCCCUAGUGGUCUUCAACACACAUAUGGUUAAGGCAUUGUCAUUUACUUCGUGGCAUCUUCAACCAAUUUUUUUU